GUCCUCGGCUAAUGAGUGACAGCAUUCUCGAUGUCCAAGGCAAUCUAAGUCAUCUUCCAAGUGGGGAGUUCGUUUUAGAUUUUCUAAAGCGAACGAUCUGCGGCAACAUCGGUGUCUCGAUGUUGUUGACCCGUCGAUGUUGCUGACCCGUYGAUGUUGCUGGCCCGUCUCCUGAUUUCGGAUCUCUUGUUUCGUUUGCCGAUGAUAUUCAUUAAAUGAUGUGGCUAUGGCAGGUUGCUUGGUGAUCUUAGUUCGACUUUGAUCUUAGUUUUCAGCUUAACCGGUUUUCUUCAYGAGGCCCGCACUAUCGGUCUGAUUGUAUGGCAUGUUCUUGUUUGAUUGUUGCCUUACGAUUGUAUUGGUAGUGUGAUCGAUGACCUGAUGUGACUUGUUAAUCUUAAAACUUGUCACAACGAUUUGGCAUUGUCGCAUUUUUUAAUGAGUAUUGUUGAACGGUGAUGCAAGGGUUCCUCGCAUCSUUCGGUGCAUUCUGGGGUCAUUUUGGCUAUKGGCUGCUUGCCUCGMAUUUGAGCUUGGUGGGUGGCUUUUAYUUGGGUGGUUUCGGGGAUGUCUACCGUAAAGGUGCAUGAGUGGUGUUUGGUUUGUUACGGGUGGUUGGCUCUUUGCUUGCGC
rnacentral:misc_RNA from 1 species